rnacentral:lncRNA from 1 species
AAAGAUUGAUUCUAUACAUCGUUUGACAUGUUUCUACAAACUGUAAUGGAACUAUUUUGACUUUUCGUCUGGACUAAACUCGCGGUAUUUGGACAUAAAUAUGAACUUUAUCGAACAAAACAAACAUUUAUUGUGGAACUGGGAUUCCUGGGAGUGCAUUCUGAUGAAGAUCAAAGAUACUGCAAUUGCAAUUAUGAAUUGCAAUAUUUUUAAGACUUGGGUGAAAACUUGGAAACUCAAGACUCACCCAGGGAAGAAAGACACCAAGAGAGAGCUGCUGGGCACUGGGACCAACCAGUCCCACUGCAUCUGCUGCCUGCAGCCCGUUAAAUUCCUGGUGAACAACAAGCGCCAGUGUCUGGAAUGCCAGCUGUGCGCCUGUAAGGCCUGAAGCUGCUACGACAAGAAGGAGCGCUGCUGGGUGUGCGACCCCUGCCGCAUGGAGAAUGUAACGCAUAUCUUACAUCUUGCCAAUGUACAAGUUCUACUCCUAAUUCCUACUUGAGGUAUGAAGGCAAGUAGAUAGUCCCUUUCAUCCACCUCUCUGAUAAAUCUUCCACACACUUUGCCAGAUGCAUUUCGCAAACUCCACAUAUCAUACUGUGUGUGAUCAUGAUCCAAGCACUGAAAAAUUUACUUUUACUCUGCACAAAGGCAGAUCCUUCAGAUUUAAACCUUGGUAGGCUACUGUACUUUACAGUGUUUAUCUACAGGUAACUGCUAAAAUAAAGGAAACACUAACAUAAAGUGUCUUAAUAGAGCAUUAGGCCACCAGAACAGCUUCAGUGAGCCUUGGCAUAGAUUCUACAAGUGUCUGGAACUCUAUUGGAGGGAUGCGACACCCUUCUUCCAUGAGAAAUUCCAUAAUUUGGUGUUUUGUUGAUGCUGGUGGAAAAUGCUCCAGAAUCUCCAAUAAGUGUUCAAUUGGGUUAAGAUCUGGUGACAGAGAGACAGAGAGACAGACAGACAGACACAAACUCAGCCUUUAAACCACCUAUGCUCUUCUGAUAUCCCUCUUUCAAAGUCACUGAGAUCUCUUCUAUCCAUGGUAGCCAAAAUAAUGGGCAACUGAGAAUUUUUAUACAUGACCCUAAGUACAAUGGGAUGUUAAUUGCUUAAUUAACUAAGAAACCACACCUGUGGUGAACAUCUGCUUUCAAUAUACUUUAUCUCUUAUUUACUCAAGUGUUUCCUUUAUUUUGGCAGUUAACUAUAUGUAUAGUAUCUAUUGAUGUGUCUAUUUGCAGUGUUGGGAGUAAUUACAUUUAACAAAAGUAAUGUGUUACUUUCCACACAAAGUAAUAUUGUAAAGUAACGCGUUAUAUUACUUUUUUUUUUAAAUGAAAUAAAAAAAUCUCACCCGUUUGUUUGACUGUCAGAGGGAACACGC